AGUACCACGCGUCGGCGAAUCAGCAUUCUGGUAUGGAUAGUCCGUGGAGACGCAACUACUUUGCAGGUUAGUGCCACUAGGGCAUUUUGCCUCGCUAUUUUGAAACUUUUUUCGCCUAACCUACAUAAUUUUAGAUCUAGUUUUGUUACGGACAUAUAAAUGACGGUAAAUAUGAGGGAAACCACAAAAGGCGUUUUGCCUCGGGGGGCGUUUUGGGGCCUCUUCCCCUACCUUUGUAUGGGUCCCAUCCCAUUGCCUAAUCUAUGGCAAUGAGAAGGCGGACUCGCUAGCAAAGGUGGGUGCACAGGAAGGUGAAGUUUAUGAUAGACAAAUCUCGAACAACGAGUUUUUCCCAUUAGUCCGUCAGAGUACUCUUCAAAAUUGACAAAUGAAUUGGUCACACAAUAAAUUUGGACGGUGGCUAUUUUCCAUAGUUCCUAAAAUUUCUGCGCGAGCGUGGUUCAGAGAUGAGGACUUGAGCCAAGGCUUAAUUCGCACGAUGUCGAGGCUUAUGUGAAAUCACUAUUCACUAAACGCACAUCUCUAUAGAAUAAACCUAGUCGAUAGCAAUCUAUGUAGGUUUGGAGCUGGUUACGAUGACAUCGAUCACGUAGUUUGGUGUUGCUCGGAAAACGACGCGUUCAGAGAGCAACUAUUUGGAUACCCUUGUGACAACGAGUUUUUUGUUCUGUUUUGUUUCUUUGUCUUAUUGUUCCGUGUACCAUGAAGCUCUGGCCAUCCGGAAGAUGCUACCUGACGAACCACAACUCGAGCAUGACGAUACGCUACAACGUUUUUGACGUCAAAUACCCGGAUGAGCAGCUGAAGUACCUCAAACCAAAAUUCCAACCCUGUCCAUCCUGAUCCUGAUCCAUCCGGAUCUCCGGGAAAUGCAGGAGGAGAUUGGCCGGCUGAAGAACAACAAAGCCCCUGGGGUUGACCAACUUCCAGGAGAGCUAUUUAAACACGACUAGAGCGCUGGACUGGUAUCCCAUCUACAAAAAGGGCGAUAAGCUGGAUUGUAGCAACUACCGCACAAUCACAUUGCUGAACGCCGCCUACAAGGUACUCUCCCAAAUUUUAUACCGUCGACUAGCAUCAAUUGCAAGGGAGUUCGUGGUGCAGUACCAGGCGGGGGCAAACGCUCCACCACGGACCAGGUGUUCGCCAUUCGCCAAGUACUGCAGAAAUGCCGCGAAUACAACGUGCCCACACAUCAUCUAUUUAUCGACUUCAAAGCCGCAUAUGAUAUAAUCGAUCGGGACCAGCUAUGGCAACUAAUGGACGAACAUGGAUUUCCGGAUAAACUGAAACGGUUGAUUAAAGCGACGAUGGAUCGGGUGAUGUGCGUAGUUCGAGUUUCAGGGGCAUCCUCGAGUCCUUUCGAAACCCACAGAGGGUUACGGCAAGGUGAUGGUCUUUAGUGUCUGCUAUUCAACAUCGCUUUGGAAGGGGUAAUACGAAGAGCAGGGAUUAACACGAGUGGUACAAUUUUCAAUAAGUCCGUCCAGCUAUUUGGCUUCGUCGACGACAUACAGACUUUUGGCCGAUGCAUACUAUGCAGUUGAAUAAACAUUUCGAUUUUCAAAAAUAAAACAA